rnacentral:rRNA from 1 species
GACGAACGCUGGCGGCAUGCCUUACACAUGCAAGUCGAACGGACCUAGCAAUAGGUUAGUGGCGAACGGGUGAGUAAUACAUGAGCAACCUGCCUCAAACAGGGGGAUAACACCGGGAAACUGGUGCUAAUACCGCAUAAGACCACAGCGCGGCAUCGCGCAGGGGUAAAAACGAUUCAGUGGUUUGAGAUGGGCUCAUGUCCAAUUAGCUAGUUGGUGAGGUAACGGCCCACCAAGGCGACGAUUGGUAGCCGGACUGAGAGGUUGAACGGCCACAUUGGGACUGAGACACGGCCCAG